rnacentral:lncRNA from 1 species
GGCACGUGCCAGUAAUCCCAGCUACUUGGGAGGUUGAGGCACGAGAAUCGCUUGAACCUGGGAGAUAGAGGUUGCAGUGAGCUGAAUCAUAUCAUCUUUGUACUACUUCUGUGGUUGCUUUCAAUUUUCCAUUUUAACCUAUCUCAUUAAUUAUAUCUGUCUUAUGGACGCAUUUAAAAAAAUUUUUUGAGACAGGGUCUCGCUGUUUCACCCAGGCUGGAGUGCAGUGGCGCGAUCAUAGCUCACUGCAGUUGGACUGGAUGUGCCUGUAUAGCCAAAUGAGCAAUCCUAUUCAUUCCACUUUCUUCCUGCUGUCCUGGUAGCAAGCACACAGGGGGACAGGCUUUGCAAUUUGCAGAUUUACCCAGAGAACUCCUGGCCAGCAGAGUGAGCAUCCUCCUUAGCUCUGACUACAGACAGAGCAGUGUCUUGCAUGUGGGAGGUGCAAUCAAUAGGGAAAAAUAAAUGAGUCCUUGUGUUUGACAAGGCUAGGGAGAUGGCAGCUCUGCUGUCAGCCUGGGCCUCUUAAUAACUGUGGAAGAGGACUUCCCAGUUAAACCCAACCAUAUUUAUGAUCCCAUUAAGUGAAAUGGUCUAAAUAUUCCAAUUAA